rnacentral:rRNA from 1 species
UACAGGGGGUGCAAACGUUGCUCGGAAUCAUUGGGCGUAAAGCGCACGUAGGCGGUUCGUUAUGUCGGAUGUGAAAGCCCUUGGCUUAACCGAGGAAGUGCAUCCGAAACUGGCGAGCUAGAGUACGAAAGAGGAUCGCGGAAUUCCCGGUGUAGAGGUGAAAUUCGUAGAUAUCAGGAGGAACACCGGUGGCGAAGGCGGGUCUCUGGGCCGAUACUGACGCUGGAGGAGCGAAAGCGUGGGGAGCGAACAGG